GAAAUGCGAUAAGUAGUGUGAAUUGCAGAAUUCAGUGAAUCAUCGAAUCUUUGAACGCACAUUGCGCCCCUCGGUAUUCCGUGGGGCAUGCCUGUUCGAGCGUCAUUGCUGCCCUUCAAGCCCGGCUUGUGUGUUGGGUCGUCGUCCCCUCCGGGGGACGGGCCCGAAAGGCAGCGGCGGCACCGCGUCCGGUCCUCGAGCGUAUGGGGCUUUGUCACCCGCUCGAUAAGGACCGGCCGGGCGCCAGCCGGCGUCUCCAACCUUUUUUUCUCAGGUUGACCUCGGAUCAGGUAGGGAUACCCGCUGAACUUAAGC
rnacentral:misc_RNA from 1 species